rnacentral:rRNA from 1 species
ACGGGUGAGUAACGCGUGGGUAACCUACCCUGUACACACGGAUAACAUACCGAAAGGUAUGCUAAUACGGGAUAAUAUAUUUGAGAGGCAUCUCUUAAAUAUCAAAGGUGAGCCAGUACAGGAUGGACCCGCGUCUGAUUAGCUAGUUGGUAAGGUAACGGCUUACCAAGGCGACGAUCAGUAGCCGACCUGAGAGGGUGAUCGGCCACAUUGGAACUGAGACACGGUCCAAACUCCUACGGGAGGCAGCAGUGGGGAAUAUUGCACAAUGGGCGAAAGCCUGAUGCAGCAACGCCGCGUGAGUGAUGAAGGCCUUCGGGUCGUAAAACUCUGUCCUCAAGGAAGAUAAUGACGGUACUUGAGGAGGAAGCCCCGGCUAACUACGUGCCAGCAGCCGCGGUAAUACGUAGGGGGCUAGCGUUAUCCGGAUUUACUGGGCGUAAAGGGUGCGUAGGCGGUCUUUCAAGUCAGGAGUGAAAGGCUACGGCUCAACCGUAGUAAGCUCUUGAAACUGGGAGACUUGAGUGCAGGAGAGGAGAGUGGAAUUCCUAGUGUAGCGGUGAAAUGCGUAGAUAUUAGGAGGAACACCAGUUGCGAAGGCGGCUCUCUGGACUGUAACUGACGCUGAGGCGCGAAAGCGUGGGGAGCAAACAGGAUUAGAUACCCUGGUAGUCCACGCUGUAAACGAUGAGUACUAGGUGUCGGGGGUUACCCCCCUCGGUGCCGCAGCUAACG